rnacentral:rRNA from 1 species
UUAAUGUCCAGGAGAGUGGCCCUCUGCAUGGAGGGUUGACUAGAGAUUCAUCGGUAUGGGAUGAGCUUGCGUCCGAUUAGCUAAUUGGCGGGGCAACGGCCCACCAAGGCGACGAUCGGUAGCCGGCCUGAGAGGGUGAUCGGCCACAUUGGGGCUGAGAUACGGCCCAGACUCCUACGGGAGGCAGCAGUAGGGAAUAUUGCACAAUGGGGGAAACCCUGAUGCAGCAACGCCACGUGUGGGAAGAAGCAUUUCGGUGUGUAAACCACUGUCGUGAGGGAAUAAGGCCCGCCUUCGGACGGGAUUGAAUGUACCUCGAAAGGAAGCACCGGCAAACUUCGUGCCAGCAGCCGCGGUAAUACGAGGGGUGCAAGCGUUGUUCGGAAUUACUGGGCGUAAAGGGAGCGUAGGCGGAGAUUCAAGCGGAUUGUACAAUCCCGGGGCCCAACCCCGGACCUGCAGUCCGAACUGGACCUCUUGGAUAGUUCAGGGGCAGGCGGAAUUCCUGGUGUAGCGGUGGAAUGCGUAGAGAUCAGGAAGAACACCGAUGGCGAAGGCAGCCUGCUGGGGACUUUAUCGACGCUGAGGCUCGAAAGUGCGGGUAGCAAACAGGAUUAGAUACCCUGGUAGUCCGCACCGUAAACAAUGCAUACUGGGUGUCCGGGGGUUCCCCCGGGUACCGUAGCCAACGCGUUAAGUAUGCCGCCUGGGGAGUACGUACGCAAGUAUGAAACUCAAAGGAAUUGACGGGGGCCCGCACAAGCGGUGGAGCAUGUGG